CAGGCUUUGGGGCCCUUCCUCAGGCCUGGGAGAGAAGCAGAUUUGGCCUGAACUCAGCACCAGUUGGCACAGUCACUGCUGUUUGACCCUGCUGUGUUAAGGGCAUUUUGUUUUAUUUCAAACACAAUGAGCUGGGCAGGAGCUAACCCGUUCUGCACAACUCAACGCCUGUGCGCCUGGGCCUGAGUGCCAGGGCAUGACCCUGAGCCGAAAUCCACAAAACAGCAGAGCCAGAAGUGUCAGAAAUGUCCCCAGAUCUCCAGCAAAGAUGGUUUCUAGCAUGUUUUACUCAGCUGCCUACAUCCCCAAAUCACAGCUUCAGAGAAGACCCGGGGCACUACCUGGGUCUCCAGCACAUUAAACCAGUUUCUGACAACAGCGCUUCUUGAUCUAAGGAGACCAACCUGGACUAGAGACUUUGCAUGGAUUCUACCACUCUUUCUGUUGUAAAAGUCUUUUUCAAACCUUCCGCAUCCAUCUUUGCAUAGAAAAGACAAGCCUAAUACUUGUGGGUUUCAGAAACAGGAUGUAUUUUGCUUGGUACCACAGAAACAGUUUACCUCAGCUACAAGGGAAGAUGUCUGUGUUUCACAGGUUCAUCUACAGUCAUUAUUGUAGGGUUUUUAUUCCCAGUUUUAAAAGCCCACAACAGCAAUGCCUAAUAUUGCUAUCAAAAAAUAAAGAGCGGAGAGUGGUAGAGAGCAUAAGACAUUUUAAGAUGGAAGGAUAGUAAUUGAAAUGUAACUUAUUCUGGAGUGGCUCCUAGCUGUUAAAAGAAUCAGGGAGUUAUGUCAAGAUGUCGUUAGGUGAUGGGGAAAAAGCCCUUUUCUGUCAAACAGGCUCCUUAAUGACUGCAAGGCAGGAUUCUGAUUUUGCAUCCAGUUUGGAAUUGACACCUCCGGCCUCACAUCGGUAGGCACUGGUUCAACAGUGACUUGGAAAAGAAGAGAACUGCUGCUUGAAUUGCCAAUUGCUGGGAGGAGGCUGCACAAAUAUCUUGACACUGUGACCAGAGGCGGUCAUUACCUACCCAAGGUCAUUGGUGAGGCUCCUACAUACCGCAUCAUUCGGAGCAGCCAGGCUUAGUCCGCUACUUUGAAUGAGCAUUGCUUUCAGUAAGGCUUCUGUCAGGAAUCUGGGGCUGCAUGAAAUCCCUGCCUGGCUGGCUGGCUGUACAGCGGGAGGCAGUGUGUGGGGUUGUGCCGUCAUCCUUGGUGACAGCAGUCUCCAACAUAUGCCAGGUCCCCUGCCCCACCGGGCCUGGGGUACUAGACACAGUAUAGAACCACCUUGCCAGGCCCUAUUCAAGACUGCUUCAAAGUUUUUCCCUCUGUGACAUGCAGUAGUGAAGUUGCCUGCACACAGACAAGCUCACGCCACUCACCUGGUGCCUGCAGCUGCUGUCCCAGUGACCUGGUGUAUUGCUGAUCCGCCUGUGCUGCAAACCUGCCAUGUACCCAUGGCAAUGGUGCUGCAUUUGCCCACAGCUGCGGGACCUGAGCACUUUACAAGCAUGAACAAGCAUGUCUGUGUGCCCAGGGACUCACUGAUUCAUAGAGUUUGAGGUCAGGAGCGAUGAUGCCCAUGUCACCAAUAUGCCACUGGCACAGAGCUGGUGACAGCGAUGACCAGCCCACACUGCUGCGAAGCACCAAGCUCACAUGCAGCAUGCUGUUUAUGACUAUGACACCAUGCUUACACUGAAGCCUUGCCAGAUGACGCAUAGAACUUCCCCUAGGCUCAGGGAGCGCUUUCCUCCCUCCCUGACUUCUCAUGGCAUCAGCUGGAUGCAGCUGAGGACUAAGUAUUGCAUCUGCAUCAUGUGGGGACUCUGAAAAGGGAGCCCAGAGUUGCAGCAUCUGAAUUUUGGAGAGCAGCAAGUUUCCUUGCUUUCUUCCUUGGGGUUCAGAGAUCAAGCCAAACUACAUUCUGCCUAAGAGUGACUUAUUUUUUAGCCCUGGCUCAUACAGAUUUUAUGAAACAGGAUUUUAUGUUUCUCCUCCCCAUGGUAUUUACCAGAUUGCUCCAAAUUACAUGGUGGUGAACAUGAAAGCCACAUACCUGUGGAGGAGAGAAUGAGUAGUUCUCAGUUUUCAGUCUGGCUCUCUUUCUCUCCCUACCCCUUCCCCACCUCUCCCUGCCUUGUGGAGCCAGCUGCUCCGAGAAUAGUUCAGGAAUGAAAUGUCACAGUUUGAAGCUGGUGAGUCACACUCUUCUACCAAAAUACGAUCUUGCAGCAUGUCUCCUGAUGGGGACAGCAAGACUUUUCAAAAUGCAAGCUUCCUGAUGGAGGCCAGGGUUCUGAAUAAACCCUGCGUGUUGUGUCCUGGCUGUUUGUUGCAUGAUGAUCAUAAGGUACUUUUCCAACUUUAAUUAUCUAGUUAACAUGCCCAUCACAAUCAGACCAGGUGCCUUAGCCAAAAGAGCUGCAUUGUUUCUGUCUGACAAUGCACCUACAGUAAGUCUCUUAAUUAAGUCUCCCUGCACUGCUGUGAGGUAUGUAAUUACAGUGAAACCUGCCUUAAGCAACAACUCAAGGGACCAACAAAAAUAAUUUCCUUACCAGAGCAGGGAGAAGCAGGAUUUUACUAGGUGCAUUUUGGGGUACUUUGGAGCAAGGUAGUAAAACAAGGAGGGGGCCUAAUUAAGGUGGUUCCUUCUCCAGGUUUCCCUGUGGUAGAUUAACAUCCUCAUGCUAUAUACUGGUAUGAUAUUAUUAAUAUUACUCUCAUAAUCAUAGCUUAGUAUAAUAGUACUAAUUAUACUAAUUAACAUUGUUCUCUUUUCAAAAGGCUCCCUAGGAUCUUCAUCUUCUAUUAGAGACUGCCAAAGGAUUGCCACUUAAAGCCAAUGGGACUAAUGUGUUUCUGUGAUGUGGACCAUUGUCCAUCAGAGAUCAGUGAAUGGAGGACCUUCCCUCCCCGCCCACAUUCAUAUUAUAUGAGAACCAUCAAAGAGCUUUCACAUGGCACCAAGGCUUAGUCAAAGUUGGGCCACAUCAGGCAUUGUUUGAUGAGGUUUUUGUCUCAGUGAGACCUGAAGGAUGUGGUGCAGUAUCAAGCUCUCUGCACUGGCAUAUUUUUGAACUAUUAAAAUGAUUUUAUAGAGAGUGCAGUAAAGUUUAACAAGUUUAUAGAGCUUGGGCUAGGACCCCACCUAUUCUGUAGCCACUGAGUUUGCCACAGAAUUCAGCCCUUGUUGCAGAUUUCUGCUCCAGAAUCUCCUUUUGUUGAAAAAGUAUCUCGCCCUCCUCAUGGUAAAGAUGGCCAAGAAAGGUGACAGGAGCACAAUGAGUGCAGUGCUGUAUGCUCUUGGCCAACUCAGGUGUGAAAUAGCAUGUCUGAGAGGUUUAAACUGCCUUCCUUGUCCCUGUGGGUUAUUACUUCUGAAACAGAAAGGGAACAAAUUAAUGCUUACGCGGUUAACACUUUCACUGUUGUUCCAUUCAGCUAGACGCUUCUGCUGAGAGCUUGGCCUCCAAACUGGCUCACGCUCCUUUCCCACUGCUGAAAGCCUCAAACAUCUUCUAAUCCACUUCCUGCCUCCCCACUAAAUCCUGAGGUGCCAUUAGCCAUUGUCAGUACAGCAGUGACACGUUGAAAAGUGACCAUGCAGGGACUGCCUGGAAUAAAGUCAAUGGACUUAAAAAUAAAUAACACGGGAGCUCCUGCGCUGACCGUAUUGCUCCCUUAAAUACUGAAUCCAGGAUGCACUUGACGUUUUAAAUACAUCUGAAGCUAUGGUAGAAUUUCACAGAUUUCCACCAGAAGCCAAGAAUUUUGCCACUGGAUUUACAGCACACAUGUGCGCUCAGUGAUUCCUCAGAACCUGAAAUCUCCAACUGGGAAUCAGGCUUCCAGACUCUCUCGUACCUCUGCAAGGUGUGGCUUCAAUACGCAAGGUUCCACCUCAUCCAAGCUAGGAUUUCUGCUCCAGUCCAAAGGUCACUGGUUCUAUCCAUUUGUUCUGUGAUUGGAAAAAGAUGACAAAGUUUAUUAACCAAGAUGAUUUUGGACAUUUAUUAGCAAGACAUUGUCAGGCAACAAUGGCAGCACAGACAGAGAAGCUGGUCCCAAUCCCAUAGUAUUUCCUGCAGGGCUCCCUCCAGCUCAUGGCUCUUCUCUGCUGAUCCUCUUGUAUUGUUUUUGAUAAUGAAUAGCAGCUGAUUGUUGCAUUGUCUAAUAAGUGAUUCAUUUACAUUAAGCAUCGCUUCAAAGUAGGAUUUGAUUUUUUUUUUCAAAGUCACUUCAGUUGUUUAGUUGUAGAGAUUCCAUUUUUUUGUAACCGCAUUGUUUGAAUGAUUUCUCGGUUGCUUCUACAAACAGCCAAAUUCCCCUGAUGUAACUUCCCAAGCAGCCUCUGGUGUCACAGAAGUGGAAUCAGGAUCCACAUUUUCAAAAGAGGCAGCUAUCAGUGGUCUUGAGUGGCCAGUUUGAGACCUCUGCCCUGAACUCCCUGUCAGUUUUGCUGUCCCUGUAAGUCCACGUGAGGGCAGGCAUAGAGCCUCAGCAAGUGGGAAUGGCCAGAGCUUCAUUGGCAUCCUGUUGAUCUGCCCCACC